rnacentral:rRNA from 1 species
UGAGGAAUCUUCCGCAAUGGGCGAAAGCCUGACGGAGCAACGCCGCGUGUGGGAUGAAGACUCUAGGGUUGUAAACCACUGUCGGAGGGGACGAUCGUGACGGUACCCUCCAAGAAAGCCCCGGCUAACUACGUGCCAGCAGCCGCGGUAAUACGUAGGGGGCGAGCGUUAUCCGGAUUUACUGGGCGUAAAGCGCGUUAAGGCGGAUGGCCAAGUUGGCGGUGAAAUUUCGGGGCUCAACCCCGAAACUGCCGCCAAAACUGGUCGUCUAGAGUAUGGGAGAGGAAGGUGGAAUUCCGGGUGUAGUAGUGAAAUGCGUAGAUAUCCGGAGGAACACCAGCGGCGAAGGCGGCCUUCUGGCCCAUAACUGACGCUGUAGCGCGAAAGCGUGGGGAGCGAACGGG